rnacentral:lncRNA from 1 species
CAGGUUCCUCUAGUUGCCGGCGAGAACUACUAGCCGACGAAUUCCAGCUUCGGCGGCGGCAGGGCGAGGCCUUCUGGAUAACAGAGUUCACGCACUGAGACGCUGACCGGAAAGGAGAUUGAGAUUGACAUUGAACCUACAGACAAGGUGGAGCGAAUCAAGGAGCGUGUGGAGGAGAAAGAGGGAAUCCCCCCACAACAGCAGAGGCUCAUCUACAGUGGCAAGCAGAUGAAUGAUGAGAAGACAGCAGCUGAUUACAAGAUUUUAGGUGGUUCAGUCCUUCACCUGGUGUUGGCUCUGAGAGGAGGAGGUGGUCUUAGGCAGUGAUGGACCCUCCAUUUUACCUCUUUACCCUGUCGCUCAUAAUGAGGCAUCAUAUAUCCUCUCACUCUCUGGGACACCAUAGCCACUGCCCCCUCCCCUGGAUGCCCAGUAAUGUAUGUCUACUGGUGGGAGAC